AUUGAACGCUGGCGGCAGGCCUAACACAUGCAAGUCGAACGGCAGCACAGAAGAGCUUGCUCUUUGGGUGGCGAGUGGCGGACGGGUGAGUAAUGUCUGGGAAACUGCCCGAUGGAGGGGGAUAACUACUGGAAACGGUAGCUAAUACCGCAUAACGUCGCAAGACCAAAGUGGGGGACCUUCGGGCCUCACACCAUCGGAUGUGCCCAGAUGGGAUUAGCUAGUAGGUGGGGUAAUGGCUCACCUAGGCGACGAUCCCUAGCUGGUCUGAGAGGAUGACCAGCCACACUGGAACUGAGACACGGUCCAGACUCCUACGGGAGGCAGCAGUGGGGAAUAUUGCACAAUGGGCGCAAGCCUGAUGCAGCCAUGCCGCGUGUAUGAAGAAGGCCUUCGGGUUGUAAAGUACUUUCAGCGGGGAGGAAGGCGGUGAGGUUAAUAACCUCGCCGAUUGACGUUACCCGCAGAAGAAGCACCGGCUAACUCCGUGCCAGCAGCCGCGGUAAUACGGAGGGUGCAAGCGUUAAUCGGAAUUACUGGGCGUAAAGCGCACGCAGGCGGUCUGUUAAGUCAGAUGUGAAAUCCCCGGGCUUAACCUGGGAACUGCAUUUGAAACUGGCAGGCUUGAGUCUCGUAGAGGGGGGUAGAAUUCCAGGUGUAGCGGUGAAAUGCGUAGAGAUCUGGAGGAAUACCGGUGGCGAAGGCGGCCCCCUGGACGAAGACUGACGCUCAGGUGCGAAAGCGUGGGGAGCAAACGAGGAUUAGAUACCCUGGUAGUCCACGCCGUAAACGAUGUCGACUUGGGAGGUUGUGCCCUUGAGGCGUGGCUUCCGGAGCUAACGCGUUAAGUCGACCGCCUGGGGAGUACGGCCGCAAGGUUAAAACUCAAAUGAAUUGACGGGGGCCCGCACAAGCGGUGGAGCAUGUGGUUUAAUUCGAUGCAACGCGAAGAACCUUACCUGGCCUUGACAUCCAGAGAACUUAGCAGAGAUGCUUUGGUGCCUUCGGGAACUCUGAGACAGGUGCUGCAUGGCUGUCGUCAGCUCGUGUUGUGAAAUGUUGGGUUAAGUCCCGCAACGAGCGCAACCCUUAUCCUUUGUUGCCAGCGGUUCGGCCGGGAACUCAAAGGAGACUGCCGGUGAUAAACCGGAGGAAGGUGGGGAUGACGUCAAGUCAUCAUGGCCCUUACGGCCAGGGCUACACACGUGCUACAAUGGCGCAUACAAAGAGAAGCGACCUCGCGAGAGCAAGCGGACCUCAUAAAGUGCGUCGUAGUCCGGAUUGGAGUCUGCAACUCGACUCCAUGAAGUCGGAAUCGCUAGUAAUCGUAGAUCAGAAUGCUACGGUGAAUACGUUCCCGGGCCUUGUACACACCGCCCGUCACACCAUGGGAGUGGGUUGCAAAAGAAGUAGGUAGCUUAACCUUCGGGAGGGCGCUUACCACUUUGUGAUUCAUGACUGGGGUGAAGUCGUAACAAGGUAACCGUAGGGGAA
rnacentral:rRNA from 1 species